GAUGAACGCUAGCUACAGGCUUAACACAUGCAAGUCGAGGGGAAACGGCAUCGAAAGCUUGCUUUUGAUGGGCGUCGACCGGCGCACGGGUGAGUAACGCGUAUCCAACCUGCCCAUCACUUGGGAAUAACCUUGCGAAAGUAAGACUAAUGCCCAAUGACAUCCCACGAGGGCAUCCGAAUGGGAUUAAAGAUUUAUCGGUGAUGGAUGGGGAUGCGUCUGAUUAGCUUGUUGGCGGGGUGACGGCCCACCAAGGCAACGAUCAGUAGGGGUUCUGAGAGGAAGGUCCCCCACAUUGGAACUGAGACACGGUCCAAACUCCUACGGGAGGCAGCAGUGAGGAAUAUUGGGCAAGGGGCGAGGGCCUGAACCAGCCAAGUAGCGUGCAGGAUGACGGCCCUAUGGGUUGUAAACUGCUUUUAUAAGGGAAUAAAGUGGGUCACGUGUGACUUUUUGCAUGUACCUUAUGAAUAAGGACCGGCUAAUUCCGUG
rnacentral:rRNA from 1 species